CAUGCAAGUCGAGCGCGAAAGAGGAGCAAUCCUCGAGUAGAGCGGCGAAAGGGUGAGUAAUACGUUCCUACGUGCCUUGAGGUCAGGGAUAGUCAGGGGAAACUCUGAGUAAUACCUGAUGUGGUCGCAAGAUCAAAGGCUUGCCGCCUCAAGAGCGGGGAACGUCCCAUCAGGUAGUUGGUGAGGUAAAGGCUCACCAAGCCUAAGACGGGUAGCAGGUGUGAGAGCACGGCCUGCCACAUCGGGACUGAGACACUGCCCGGACUCCUACGGGAGGCUGCAGUAACGAAUCUUCCGCAAUGCGCGAAAGCGUGACGGAGCAAUGCCGCGUGCAGGAUGAAGCCCCUCGGGGUGUAAACUGCUGUCAGGGAUUAGGAACACAAUGACCAAUCCCAAAGGAAGAGACGACUAACUCUGUGCCAGCAGUCGCGGUAAUACAGAGGUCUCGAGCGUUAGUCGGAAUCACUGGGCUUAAAGCGUACGUAGGCGGAUAUGCAGGCGUCGUGUGAAAUCCCUCGGCUCAACCGGGGAACUGCACGGCGAACCGCAUGUCUUGAGACGAGUAGGGGCUGUCGGAACGAUAGGUGGAGUGGUGAAAUGCGUUGAUAUCUAUCGGAACGCCGAAAGUGAAGACAGGCAGCUGGGCUCGUUCUGACGCUGA
rnacentral:rRNA from 1 species